CCAUUCUCAGUUCGGAUUGCAGGCUGCAACUCGCCUGCAUGAAGCCGGAAUCGCUAGUAAUCGCGGAUCAGCAUGCCGCGGUGAAUACGUUCCCGGGCCUUGUACACACCGCCCGUCACACCACGAGAGUUUGUAACACCCGAAGUCGGUGAGGUAACCUUCAUGGAGCCAGCCGCCUAAGGUGGGACAGAUGAGUGGGGUGAAGUCGUAACAAGGUAGCCGUAUCGGAAGGUGCGGCUGGAUCACCUCCUUUCUAAGGA
rnacentral:rRNA from 1 species